GCCGGUUUAGCUCAGCUGGUAGAGCAACUGAUUUGUAAUCAGUAGGUCGCGGGUUCGAUUCCUGCAACCGGCACCA
rnacentral:tRNA from 2 species